UACGAGGGGUGCAAGUGUUGUUCGGAAUCACUGGGCGUAAAGGGAGCGUAGGCGGGAAAUUAAGUCAGAUGUUUAAUUCCAUGGCCCAACCAUGGGUAUGCGUUUGAAACUGAUUUUCUUGAAUAGGAUAGAGGUAGAUGGAAUUCCCGGUGUAGCGGUGGAAUGCGUAGAUAUCGGGAGGAACACCAGUUGCGAAGGCGAUCUACUGGAUCCAUAUUGACGCUGAGGCUCGAAAGCGUGGGGAGCAAACAGG
rnacentral:rRNA from 1 species